rnacentral:lncRNA from 1 species
CUAUCUUGUUUAGAAGCAAUUUUGAUUGAACAAAAGAAACUUCUUUUUGAACAAAAGAAGACCAACAAACUGUUGUCUGAAAUUUUGCGCCCAAUAGAAAAAGAAUCUGUAAAUAAUGAUAAUGCCGUGUAUACUGGUUUUGAUGCCGAAUUUAAAUUGCACGACAUUCAAAAACGAGAACCAUGUAGCUUUGCAAGAAAAUUUAUUUUGUUGCGAUUCGGAAAAGAGUUUACUUGCACGCGUAUUUGUGAACCAAACGGAC